rnacentral:rRNA from 1 species
CGAAGCGGAUCUCUUAAAGACUGUUCUCAGUUCGGACUGCAGUCUGCAACUCGACUGCACGAAGCUGGAAUCGCUAGUAAUCGCGGAUCAGCACGCCGCGGUGAAUACGUUCCCGGGCCUUGUACACACCGCCCGUCACACCAUGGAAGUCUGCAAUGCCCGAAGCCGGUGGCCUAACCACUUAUGUGGAAGGAGCCGUCUAAGGCAGGGCAGAUGACUGGGGUGAAGUCGUAACAAGGUACC